AGCGAACGCUGGCGGCGUGCCUCAUACAUGCAAGUCGCGCGAGAAACCUCCUUCGGGAGGGAGUAAAGCGGCGCACGGGUGAGUAACACGUAGGUAACGUGCCCUUGAGUCUGGGAUAACUCGGGGAAACUCGGGCUAAUACCGGAUGAGACCGCGGGAUCCUCGGAUCCUGCGGGAAAGGUGGCCUCUGCUUGCAAGCUACCGCUCGUGGAUCGGCCUGCGUCCCAUUAGCUAGUUGGUGAGGUAACGGCUCACCAAGGCGGAGAUGGGUAGCUGAUCUGAGAGGAUGAUCAGCCACACUGGAACUGAGAUACGGUCCAGACUCCUACGGGAGGCAGCAGUAGGGAAUUUUGGGCAAUGGGCGAAAGCCUGACCCAGCAACGCCGCGUGAGGGAUGAAGGCC
rnacentral:rRNA from 1 species